GGGGGUGUAGCUCAAUGGUAGAUCACAUGCCUGGCAUGCACGAGGCUCUGGGCUCAAUCCUCAGUACUGCCA
rnacentral:tRNA from 1 species